rnacentral:rRNA from 1 species
GACGAACGCUGGCGGCUUGCUUAACACAUGCAAGUCGAGCGGUAAGGCCCUUUGGGGUACACGAGCGGCGAACGGGUGAGUAACACGUGAGUAAUCUGCCUUUGGCUUGGGAAUAACUUCGGGAAAUCGGGGCUAAUGCCUGAUGUUUACUGUCUGCUGCAUGGUGGGUGGUGGAAAGAUUUUUUGGCCAGGGAUGAGCUCGCGGUCUAUCAGCUUGUUGGUGGGGUAAUGGCUACCUAAGGCUUUGACGGGUAGCCGGCCUGAGAGGGUGUU